rnacentral:rRNA from 1 species
GUAGUCAUAUGCUUGUCUCAAAGAUUAAGCCAUGCAUGUCUAAGUAUAAGCAAUCUAUACUGUGAAACUGCGAAUGGCUCAUUAAAUCAGUUAUCGUUUAUUUGAUAGUACCUUACUACUUGGAUAACCGUGGUAAUUCUAGAGCUAAUACAUGCUAAAAACCCCGACUUCGGGAGGGGUGUGUUUAUUAGAUAAAAAACCAAUGCCCUCCGGGGCUCCUUGGUGAUUCAUGAUAACUUAACGAAUCGCAUGGCCUUGCGCCGGCGAUGGUUCAUUCAAAUUUCUGCCCUAUCAACUUUCGAUGGUAGGAUAGUGGCCUACCAUGGUAUCAACGGGUAACGGGGAAUUAGGGUUCUAUUCCGGAGAGGGAGCCUGAGAAACGGCUACCACAUCCAAGGAAGGCAGCAGGCGCGCAAAUUACCCAAUCCCGACACGGGGAGGUAGUGACAAUAAAUACUGAUACAGGGCUCUUUUGGGUCUUGUAAUUGGAAUGAGUACAAUCUAAACACCUUAACGAGGAACAAUUGGAGGGCAAGUCUGGUGCCAGCAGCCGCGGUAAUUCCAGCUCCAAUAGCGUAUAUUAAAGUUGUUGCAGUUAAAAAGCUCGUAGUUGAACCUUGGGCCUGGCUGGCCGGUCCGCCUCACCGCGUGUACUGGUUCGGCUGGGCCUUUCCUUCUGGGGAUCCGCAUGCCCUUCACUGGGUGUGCCGGGGAACCAGGACUUUUACUUUGAAAAAAUUAGAGUGUUCAAAGCAGGCCUUUGCUCGAAUACAUUAGCAUGGAAUAAUAGAAUAGGACGUGCGGUCCUAUUUUGUUGGUUUCUAGGACCGCCGUAAUGAUUAAUAGGGAUAGUCGGGGGCAUCAGUAUUCAAUUGUCAGAGGUGAAAUUCUUGGAUUUAUUGAAGACUAACUACUGCGAAAGCAUUUGCCAAGGAUGUUUUCAUUAAUCAGUGAACGAAAGUUAGGGGAUCGAAGACGAUCAGAUACCGUCGUAGUCUUAACCGUAAACUAUGCCGACUAGGGAUCGGGCGAUGUUAUUAUUUUGACUCGCUCGGCACCUUACGAGAAAUCAAAGUUUUUGGGUUCUGGGGGGAGUAUGGUCGCAAGGCUGAAACUUAAAGGAAUUGACGGAAG